UUAAGUGUUUAAUUAAUCCUGUGAUAGGACAAUAUAAAUAUUUAAUCGAAUGUAGGUGUACGUAUCUUGAAGCUCAGAUCUUCUGAAAUUGCCGCAGCGAUGAUAAUGUUUGAUUCAGUCUACCAAGGAAAAGAAGAACACAUUGAAAGGUGAAUGCAUUGUAUUUGAUCAUGUGUACUUUUGAUUCUUAAUGCUAAGGGAAGAAUUUUGCGGUGAUAUUUGGCUGUCUUUCAAAAUGAUGUUUAAUUUUAGACUAUACGGUACUUUGGUUUAUUUUUAUAUUAAUGAAAGAAAAAAUUUGAUUAGUACAUACACCAAAAACAAUCAUUCUGCAAAUAUAAGAUGACUAAGUUGUUAAAUGCAUAGAUAGGCAAUGCAUUGUAAUAAUUUGUUAUACAUGACUGUGGUGUAAGAGUAAGUAUGCUAUUCAAAAGGGCAUGUUAUCACAGAAAAUGCCUAUAAGAAUCUUAUAGUAUGAGGCACCUAUAUGAAUUGUUAUCUUUUUGUCGAAACUUAUUAUGAAAUAACUCAAAGUGAUUUUAACUAUUCCCAACUCAUAUGGUAGUUGUCAUGGCAAUGAUGACAUUAUGGUUGGGUACUUUCGCCAAUAUUUGCCUGGUAAACAAGCUUUUAAAGGGGGAAUUGGCCAAAAAGCACUUCACUGUUUCAUUAGAUAAGCUCUUUGUAUUUGUUGAUUCUGCAGUGGUACCUCUAUUGGUAUUAUAAUCUUCUAUUGUGCCUUUCUUUUAAGAUAUUUAACAUUGAGAAAGAGUUCCUUUAUACGUUUCACCUUAUAAAAAGAAGUAUCUUUUAUAGAAAUCAAAAUAUGUAACAUUAAAGUGCUAGAUGUUUCAAAGCUUAUUUUCUGUAUUCCUUAAAUAAAUUCUACUUUCAGUAAUACUAGUCUGCUGCACAAGACAACUAUGAUCUUGGCUGAAGAGAGUAUGGAAGUGGAGGUUCCC
rnacentral:lncRNA from 1 species